UAUAGUUUCACAGUGAAGUAAAAAGUUCUUAUAUAUCAGAGAAUAAGAACUUUUUACUUCACUGUGAAACUAGAUGCA
rnacentral:miRNA from 1 species